GAUGAACGCUGGCGGCGUGCCUAAUACAUGCAAGUCGAGCGAAUGAUGAGGAGCUUGCUCCUCUGAUUUAGCGGCGGACGGGUGAGUAACACGUGGGUAAUCUGCCUGUAAGACGGGGAUAACUCCGGGAAACCGGGGCUAAUACCGGAUAAUAAGAGAAGAAGCAUUUCUUCUUUUUGAAAGUCGGUUUCGGCUGACACUUACAGAUGAGCCCGCGGCGCAUUAGCUAGUUGGUGAGGUAACGGCUCACCAAGGCGACGAUGCGUAGCCGACCUGAGAGGGUGAUCGGCCACACUGGGACUGAGACACGGCCCAGACUCCGACGGGAGGCAGCAGUAGGGAAUCUUCGGCAAUGGGCGAAAGCCUGACCGAGCAACGCCGCGUGAGCGAUGAAGGCCUUCGGGUCGUAAAGCUCUGUUGUUAGAGAAGGACAAGUACGAGAGUAACUGCUCGUACCUUGACGGUACCUAACCAGAAAGCCACGGCUAACUACGUGCCAGCAGCCGCAGUAA
rnacentral:rRNA from 1 species